AUUGCUCUGCUCUAGGCCCUCCUCGUGCCAGAAGCAGUCAUCCCCGUUGGGGCGCGCUAUCUAGAAAAUAGUCCGCGUUCUUGCGGGAGGAGCUCGGCAAGGAGAAGCUGGCGGGAUGGCAGACAUCCACGAGUGACGCCUAUUCCUCUGCUACAAGUGCCCCGAGGACUGUUCGUUCCACAUUGAGGGCGACCGCCUCCCAUGCCUCCUCGCCGCUGCCAUCAAGCCCAUAAGCCUAAUCCGAACAAGAGCGAGCGGCGAACCUCAGCCUGCCAGUCGCUGUUGGGGUUGACAUUUCUAUCACUACCGUCUCAGUUGGUGAGCAGUACAUCUGGCCUCCCCACAUCCUAUGUAAGUCACAGGCCUGGCAAGUCUUUGUGUGCUUCCGUUAAUGUGUUCCUCUUCAGUGUUUGUUCCUUCUCCAUCCUAGUAUUGCAUUAACAGAUUGAAGUUGAGUCGUAUGUAUAUUAUGCGUGUGCCAUGUGGUAGAUGCAUGUCCGCUAGCAUCAUCUUCAGGUUUCAUUAGUUGUUUAAUGGAUUAAGUUCCAUGGUAUAAUAAAAAAAGCUAGCAUACUGUGCGUGUCAUUUUUUAUAUGAGCUGCUAUUUUAUCACAUUGUGUUUCACCUCAGUGUCUCACCGGAACAACUUUGUUUAGGUAAAUUCUCUUGAUAAAAGAAAGAGAUGGUGUGUAUGAAUCACUCACCUAUUCUUCUGAAUUAUAUGUAUCUGCGAGAUUAAUUUUUAGUUUCAAUGUGCAAAAGCAAAACAUUUCUAUCGGAAACAUUCCUAUAAUGAAUUCCUUAGGAACCUUUAUUAUAAAUGGAAUAUACCGAAUUGUGAUCAAUCAAAUAUUGCUAAGUCAUGGUAUUUACUACUGCUGGGAAUUAGAUCAUAAGGGAAUUUCUAUCUACACUGGGACUAUAAUAUCAGAUUGGGGAAGGAGAUCGGAAUUAGCAAUAUGAUAAAAAAGAAA